UUAUUCAAGUGCUCGACAUCAC
rnacentral:siRNA from 1 species